rnacentral:tRNA from 1 species
CCCUGUAGCUCAGUUGGUAGAGCAUGGUGUUUGCAACACCAGGGUUGUGGGUUUGAUUCCCACCGGGG